rnacentral:rRNA from 1 species
AAUUUUACGCAACGGGCGAAAGCCUGACGCAGCAACGCCGCGUGGGGGAUGAAGGCCUUCGGGUUGUAAGCCCCUUUCAGCAGAGACGAAAAUGACGGUACCUGCAGAAGAAGCCCCGGCCAACUACGUGCCAGCAGCCGCGGUAACACGUAGGGGGCAAGCGUUGUCCGGAUUUAUUGGGCGUAAAGAGCUCGUAGGCAGUUGCGUAAGUCGGAUGUGAAAACUCAGGGCUCAACCCGGAGACGCCAUCCGAUACUGCGCUGACUAGAGUCCGGUAGGGGGGCAUGGAAUUCCUGGUGUAGCGGUGAAAUGCGCAGAUAUCAGGAGGAACACCAGUGGCGAAGGCGGUGCUCUGGGCCGGAACUGACGCUGAGGAGCGAAAGCGUGGGUAGCAAACAGGAUUAGAUACCCUGGUAGUCCACGCCGUA